UACGUAGGGAGCGAGCGUUGUCCGGAAUUACUGGGUGUAAAGGGAGCGUAGGCGGGACGGCAAGUCAGGUGUGAAAUUUAUGGGCUCAACCCAUAAACUGCAUUUGAAACUGCUGUUCUUGAGUGAAGUAGAGGUAAGCGGAAUUCCUAGUGUAGCGGUGAAAUGCGUAGAUAUUAGGAGGAACACCGGUGGCGAAGGCGGCUUACUGGGCUUUUACUGACGCUGAGGCUCGAAAGCGUGGGGAGCAAAC
rnacentral:rRNA from 1 species